UGCCAGGAAUCACUUUAGCAGUCAGGCCAGG
rnacentral:piRNA from 1 species